GUGUCAGCAGCCGCGGUAAUACGGAGGGUGCGAGCGUUGUCCGGAAUCAUUGGGCGUAAAGGGCGCGUAGGUGGCCCGGUCAGUCUUUGGUGAAAGCGCGGGGCUCAACCCUGCGUCGGCCAGGGAUACUGCCGCGGCUCGAGCACUGUAGAGGCAGGCGGAAUUCCGGGUGUAGCGGUGGAAUGCGUAGAGAUCCGGAAGAACACCGGUGGCGAAGGCGGCCUGCUGGGCAGUUUAGCUGACACUGAGGCGCGACAGCGUGGGGAGCAAACAGGAUUAGAAACCCGAGUAGUCC
rnacentral:rRNA from 1 species